GAUGAACGCUGGCGGCGUGCCUAAUACAUGCAAGUCGAACGCUUCACUUCGGUGAAGAGUGGCGAACGGGUGAGUAAUACCUAAGUAACCUGGCAUCUACAGGGGGAUAACUGAUGGAAACGUCAGCUAAGACCGCAUAGGUGUAGAGAUCGCAUGAACUCUAUAUGAAAAGUGCUACGGGACUGGUAGAUGAUGGACUUAUGGCGCAUUAGCUUGUUGGUAGGGUAACGGCCUACCAAGGCGACGAUGCGUAGCCGACCUGAGAGGGUGACCGGCCACACUGGGACUGAGACACGGCCCAGACUCCUACGGGAGGCAGCAGUAGGGAAUUUUCGGCAAUGGGGGAAACCCUGACCGAGCAACGCCGCGUGAAGGAAGAAGUAAUUCGUUAUGUAAACUUCUGUCAUAGAGGAAGAACGGUGGAUAUAGGGAAUGAUAUCCAAGUGACGGUACUCUAUAAGAAAGCCACGGCUAACUACGUG
rnacentral:rRNA from 1 species